AUACAGAGGGUGCGAGCGUUAAUCGGAAUUACUGGGCGUAAAGCGCGCGUAGGCGGCUACUUAAGUCAGAUGUGAAAUCCCCGGGCUCAACCUGGGAACUGCAUCUGAUACUGGGUAGCUUGAGUUUUGGAGAGGGAAGUAGAAUUUCAGGUGUAGCGGUGAAAUGCAUAGAGAUCUGAAGGAAUACCAGUGGCGAAGGCGACUUCCUGGCCAAAAACUGACGCUGAGGUGCGAAAGCGUGGGUAGCAAACGGGAUUAGAAACCCUAGUAGUCC
rnacentral:rRNA from 1 species